rnacentral:rRNA from 1 species
UGGGGAAUAUUGCACAAUGGGGGAAACCCUGAUGCAGCGACGCCGCGUGAGCGAAGAAGGUUUUCGAAUCGUAAAGCUCUGUCCUAUGAGAAGAUAAUGACGGUAUCAUAGGAGGAAGCCCCGGCUAAAUACGUGCCAGCAGCCGCGGUAAUACGUAUGGGGCGAGCGUUGUCCGGAAUUAUUGGGCGUAAAGGGUACGUAGGCGGUCUAUUAAGUCAGGUGUGAAAGCGUGAGGCUUAACCUCAUUAAGCACUUGAAACUGAUAGACUUGAGUGAAGGAGAGGAAAGUGGAAUUCCUAGUGUAGCGGUGAAAUGCGUAGAUAGUAGGAGGAAUACCGGUGGCGAAGGCGACUUUCUGGACUUUUACUGACGCUCAGGUACGAAAGCGUGGGGAGCAAACAGG